rnacentral:rRNA from 1 species
AGGACGAACGCUGGCGGCGUGCUUAACACAUGCAAGUGGAGCGACGAACCAGGGCUUGCCCUGGGGCAGAGCCGCGAACGGGUGAGUAACACGUGGGUUACCUGCCUUGAUGACCGGGACAACCCGAGGAAACUCGGGCUAAUACCGGAUGUGCCCGCAAGGGGAAGGAAGCUUCGGCCUCCGCAUCAAGAUGGGCCCGCGGCCCAUUAGCUUGUUGGUGAGGUAACGGCUCACCAAGGCGACGACGGGUA